AAACGAUAAUACUCAACCAUCCGCGAGGGUGGGGCGGAAAGCCUACAGGGUCUCGACCAGAGACAGCCGGGUUGCCGAA
rfam:Geobacter sp. OR-1 DNA, contig: OR1_contig000015.